AUGAAGCCUCUGCUUUCUUACUGUUUUCAGGUAUUCAGAUCAUCAUCUAGAAGAUGUACCAAAUGCAUUAGAAAUAUGCACAUGAAAAGAAGACUGGGCAUGACGAGAUCUAUUUCUCUCUGUUUUGUAACUUUUCAUUUACUGUUCAAAAGUUUAAGCUAUUAUGUUGUGAUUUUUUAUUUCCUUUUACACAACUAA